GAUGAAGAACGUAGCGAACGUGCGAAACGUAAUGUGAAUUGCAGAAUUCAGUGAAUCAUCGAAUCUUUGAACGCAUCUUGCGCUCCUUGGUAUUCCGAGGAGCAUGCCUGUUUGAGUGUCGCGAAAUACUCUCAAUUUCAAUCUUUUUGUUUGAAAUUGGAUUUGGAUGUUGUUGUGGAUCUUGCUACGACUCAUCCUAAAUGCAUUAGCGAUCUGCCUUGAUCACACACAAUGUGAUAAGAUGAGCAUUGUUAUAAUCAAGUCAUGACUGCUUCUAACCGUCCCUUUGGGACAAACGUCUUAUGUCGUUUGACCUCAAAUCAGGUAGGACUACCCGCUGAACUUAAGCAUAUCAAUAAGCGGAGGA
rnacentral:misc_RNA from 1 species